rnacentral:rRNA from 1 species
AGGACGAACGCUGGCGGCGUAGCUUAACACAUGCAAGUCGAACGGAGAUUUAGCAAUAGAAUCUUAGUGGCGAACGGGUGAGUAACGCGUAGGCAAGUCUGACCUUCUAGAUGGGGACAACAUCCCGAAAGGGGUGCUAAUACCGAAUGUUGUAGUUGGUCUGCAUGGACUAGCUACUAAAGGUGGCCUCUGAAUAUGCUACCGCUAGAAGAUGAGCCUGCGUCUGAUUAGCUAGUUGGAGGGGUAACGGCCCACCAAGGCAACGAUCAGUAGCCGGUCUGAGAGGAUGAACGGCCACACUGGGACUGAGACACGGCCCAGACUCCUACGGGAGGCAGCAGUGGGGAAUCUUCCGCAAUGGACGAAAGUCUGACGGAGCAACGCCGCGUGAAGUGAAGAAGGUUUUCGGAUCGUAAAGCUCUUUCGUUAGGGACGAACGUGCUCUUUGUGAAUAAUGAGGAGUAAUGACGGUACCUAAAUUAAGAAGCCACGGCUAACUACGUGCCAGCCGCCGC